AAUAGUUACUUUUAUUUACUGUAAAAAUAUACCAAUCAUGUGAAAUCUCUUUUCCUCCUUAGUUCCUCUAAUUACUGUUGAAAGAAGGUAAAAUGCACUGACACAUAUACUCUAACUCAAGCUAGGUAAAUAUAUUACUUUAUAUUACCCUCUCUCCCAUAUUUUACUUUUUCUCUCAUUUUCACCUUUUGAUGUUUCUCCCGUUUACUCCAUAUUUUCCAAUC
rnacentral:lncRNA from 1 species